GUUAAAACAUAAGUUUUUCAAUUGGCAUUAAAACAACAAACUGUUGCAAAUUUAUGAUUCAUUUAUGUUUUCAGCUAACUUUAACAACAAACGAUCCUGUUCUUAUCGCAAUGGAAAGUACGGCCCUUGUGUAUGAAGCAGUGGCAGACGGUCUGGAAAGGCAAUUAGCCUACGAUGUAGUUGAAAAGAAACAGCUGAUAGACAUUUCGGUUACGGAAAUAUUAUCAACGUACGAUAAAUAUAAACAUAAAAUCGAAGAUCUGUUCUCCAAGCACAAAGAAACAUAUGAUAGUUUCUUGAGACCAAGUGCUAAGAAAGCCAACUGCGAACCUCAAGACUUAGUAGAAGAUGACAGCGAUACAGACACUGACAAUGAAGAAGAAGUAGAUGCUAAGCUGCCUAAUUGGGAAAUCAUCGAAAAUGUAGUAACAGAAAAUCAAAAAGAAAUGAUGGCAAGAUAUCUUGAAAAACAACUCGUUGUUGAUCCGUUGUCAGAAGCUGGAAAGUAUACGAACCUCAUUUGUGACGUGUUAAUAAUGGAAUGGGCACUUUGCAUAUUCAUUGAACGAUAUGAAUACACCUCGAGAAAAAAGGCACUGAGACAUUUGAAAAAGCAAAGCCGGAUCAUUAUUAUGCAGUUUAAGUAUGAGUCGCCUCCCGCAAAAAAAGGGCCCUAAGAAAAAAUCUCGGAAAAACAAGAAGCGAUAAAUCAAAUCAGUAUGUGUUUUAACUAUAAAUGAUGUACAAAAAUACAUGAAAAGUAAAUAAAACGUUGUGUGCUACAACUGAC